AUGGAGGCAGGCUGCCCGAGAGGAGUCUUUCCAUGCAAGUACCUAGGAUUGCCACUCGCCCUACGAAAGCAAUCCCACGUCCAACUAACCGACCUAGUGGACCAACUCGCUGCAGCUCUACUGAAGUGGAAGGCGGCCAAGAUGCCCAAGAGUGGAAGAAUGUUGCUAGUCCAAUCCGUGCUCUGUGCGGUGCCGUUGCACGCGAUGAUGGCGCUGGACCUCCCGCAGAAGACAAUCGCACCAAUGAACAAAAUCUGCCGCAGUUUCUUGUGGUGCGCGGAGGCAAGCUCGACCGGCGGCCAUUGUGCCGUCGCAUGGGAGACCGUGUUCUCUCCCAAAUGGGCGGGUGGACUCAGACUUCCAAACUUGAAGUGGAUGAAUACUGCCAUUGAAAGUGCGUUAUAUCGACUAGAGGGGGGUGAAUAG
rnacentral:rRNA from 1 species